GAUGAACGCUGGCGGCGUGCCUAAUACAUGCAAGUCGAGCGAACGGACGAGAAGCUUUCUUCUCUGAGGUUAGCGGCGGACAGGUGGGUAACACGUGGAUAACCUCCCUCUAAGACUGGGAUAACUUCGGGAAACCGGAGCUACUACCGGGUAAUAUUUUGAGCCGCUUGGUUCAAGAGUGAAAGACGGUCUUGCUGUCACUUAUGGAUGGGUCCGCGCUGCAUUAGCUAGUUGGUAAGGUAACGGCUUACCAAGGCAACGAUGCCUAGCCGACCUGAGAGGGGGGUCGGCCACACUGGAACGGAGACAAGGCCCAGACUCCUACGGGAGGCAGCAGUAGGGAAGCUUCCGCAAUGGGCGAAAGCCUGACGGAGCAACGCCGCGUGAGGGAUGAAGGUCUUCGGAGCGUAAAACUCUGUUAUUAGGGAAGAACAAAUGUGUAAGUAACUGUGCACAGCUUGACGGUACCUAAUCAGAAAGCCACGGCUAACUACGUG
rnacentral:rRNA from 1 species